rnacentral:tRNA from 1 species
GAGGAUAUAGCUCAGUGGUAGUGCUUAGCAUGAGCAAGGUCCUGGGUUCAAUCCCCAGUACCUCCA